GACGAACCGUACGAACGUUAUUCGGAAUCACUGGGCUUAAAGGGUGCGUAGGCGGCGCAGUAAGUUGGGUGUGAAAUCCCUCGGCUUAACCGAGGAAUUGCGCCCAAAACUACUGUGCUCGAGGGAGGUAGAGGUGAGCGGAACUUAGGGGUGGAGCGGUGAAAAUGCGUGGAUAUCAAGAGGAACACCAGUGGCGAAGGCGAGUCCCCUGGACGAUACCUGACACUGAGGCACGAAAGCCAAGGGAGCAAAACAGG
rnacentral:rRNA from 1 species